GUUGACCAACAUUAGAAUGGUAUAAAAAAUCUCACAUAAAAAUACUUUAUGCAUGGAGAAAAGUGAUGGCGUGAAGAGAAGAGUCCAACUUAAUUUGGACUCUAGGUUUUCAUUCAAAUUCAAACCCAUUUGAACUCAAAUUUAAAUUAAUAAAUUUUUAAUUCAAAAAAAAUUGAUGUGAACAUGAAAAAGCUUCUAGAAAUGAGAAAAAUUUAUAUAAAAAAAUUUUUGCGUGAAGAAUAAUAGGGCGUAG
rnacentral:lncRNA from 1 species